UACAGAGGUCUCAAGCGUUGUUCGGAUUCAUUGGGCGUAAAGGGUGCGUAGGCGGCGCGGUAAGUCGGGUGUGAAAUCUCGGAGCUUAACUCCGAAACUGCAUUCGAUACUGCCGUGCUUGAGGACUGGAGAGGAGACUGGAAUUUACGGUGUAGCGGUGAAAUGCGUAGAUAUCAGGAGGAACACCUAUGGCGAAGGCAGCUCGCUGGGACGGUACUGACGCUGAGACGCGAAAGCGUGGGGAGCGAACAGG
rnacentral:rRNA from 1 species